CACAAAUGCUUUGGCUUAAGACCUUGACAUUCAUUCCUUCUCCACAGGCAUUUAUGUCAGGAGAACUCAAUUGUUUGAGUACACAUGGAAAGUAAAUGCGAGAAGUGCCCCGGUCUGACUAAAGCAAAUUCACUGAAAAAUGUAAGAAGGAGAAAGGUAUAAAGUGAAGAUGUGAGGCUGCAGAACUGGAGUGUGGUCAGGCAUAGAGAUAAGCCUUGUAGCUGGUUUGAGCUCAGGUAUUUUUAUUGCUUAUGCAGGAAUUAGUUGCAUGUGGAAUCUGACAGUGGGUCACACAGCCUGGCUGGAACAGGUCUGGAACUCUGACCUCUGGAUUGCCAAGUUACUGCAAUCAGUGUUUUCCUGUGCUGUAUUUGUUAUUGGUAUUAUAAUCAUAUGCUGCUCUGAAAGGGAAUGAAAGGUGUACUGCAAACCAUCCAGUAUAUAAAUAAUGUCAUUGUUCUAAACAGUCUGAGGUAGUUAUAGGGCUGCAAGUUCCAGUUUGAGGCAGCGGGCUCCUGAUGAGGCAGCCUCUGCAAAGGAAAGUCAGGAGGCACAAAGAAUUAAAGAACAAAUCUUUAUCAUAGUUUCUGUUUGCCCCUUGUUCCUCAGGCCCUGAAGUGCCAAGGUUGCAAAGUGUCUUGAAAGUUUCUGAGAUUUUUAUUUUCUCAAAUGGAAUGAAAGCAGUUCAGAGCAGCACAUUUGUUAUAGUUCUGUGUCCAGUUGGAAAGUAGAGGGACUUCUGAGGGCAAAGCCCUUGUUUUGGCACCUGAUUCAAGACAGCAGUUUUGCUUCAUCUCCUUGUUACCAGAAAUAUAAAGUAUUGUUGAGCUGAUGAUGUUUGCAGCUGUGGCAGGGAGGCUGUAUUGCUUCCAUGUGAUUGCCCAGAGUAUUGACAGAAAACACUCUGAAAACACAGGAUAUUCAGAGUGGAGAGCUCAGAGGGCACCACAGGCCAAGCUAAAGCCCGAGAUACCAGUUCAGGUAAGAGCUGGAGACUUCUGAAGCUGAAAACGAAAAGCCUAAAUGUGAUGUCACAGAUAAAGGAAUGGCAAAAGCAGGUGCUGAGGGUGGAGUAGUUGGCAGCUGUAUUCCCAAUAAACCAAAGAACUCGGGGCGACAAGCAGGAAAAGGGUGUCUUCCUGGUCACUUGGAUAAGUCAAAUUUCACUGAAGAAAGGAAGAGUAAUUGCUUGCUGUGCUAAUAAGUGAAUAAAAAUGAGGGAAGGCGUCAUACAAAUUGUUAAAGAAAGGUAAGAACACACACAGGGAUUAAAUCACCUGAGAAGGCAUCAACAGCACUGAUUGCUUUUAAUGGGCACAUGAGGAGGCAUGUUUCUGUUUUCCAAGUAAGUAUCUGGAAGGAAAAGUUCAGUGCAGCAGUAGGAGUUGUUAUUACAGAUUGAUUUAUGGAUACAGGAGAGGACGUACUUAAGGAUCUCUGUUUGCUUCGUGUUGGCAGCUUCAUAUGACACAGUCCAUUAAUUUUUGAAGGCUCCAGUCCUGUUGGCUUGAGAGUAUCUUGGUUUUUUCAUGUUGAUUGGUAAAGCUUUUCAUGCCUGGGCUUGGUCUUGACUCCUUUAGGGGCUCAUUAUCUGUCUUUGGGGUGUCACCUCUUGGGGACAUCUUUCGGAAUACAGGAGAAGCCGUGUUGGCUUCAGUAAAGGACCAAAAGACAUUUAAUCUUGAUUUGAGAGCUCAAAUGCCAGAGAAGCUACCACAGGCUUUAUUUGCAGUGGUUAAUUAUUUCCACUUUUUAAAAAGGUGAACUUUACUUCCAGCCUUAAAUCUGGAGCUUCCAGCUGUUGAAUUG